rnacentral:rRNA from 1 species
GACAGAGGGUGCAAACGUUGUUCGGAAUUACUGGGCGUAAAGCGCGUGUAGGCAGCUCGGAAAGUCGGAUGUGAAAGCCCUGGGCUUAACCCAGGAAGAGCAUUCGAAACUUCCGAGCUUGAGUUCCGGAGAGGAAGGCGGAAUUCUCGGUGUAGAGGUGAAAUUCGUAGAUAUCGAGAGGAACACCGGUGGCGAAGGCGGCCUUCUGGACGGUGACUGACGCUGAUGCGCGAAAGCCAGGGGAGCGAACGGG